rnacentral:rRNA from 1 species
AACGCUAGCUACAGGCUUAACACAUGCAAGUCGAGGGGCAGCAUGAUUGAAGCUUGCUUCAAUUGAUGGCGACCGGCGCACGGGUGAGUAACACGUAUCCAACCUUCCGUACACUCAGGGAUAGCCUUUCGAAAGAAAGAUGAAUACCUGAUGGUAUCUUAAGCACACAUGUAAUUAAGAUUAAAGAUUUAGCGGUGUACGAUGGGGAUGCGUUCCAUUAGAUAGUAGGCGGGGUAACGGCCCACCUAGUCAACGAUGGAUAGGGGUUCUGAGAGGAAGGUCCCCCACAUUGGAACUGAGACACGGUCCAAACUCCUACGGGAGGCAGCAGUGAGGAAUAUUGGUCAAUGGACGAGAGUCUGAACCAGCCAAGUAGCGUGAAGGAUGACUGCCCUAUGGGUUGUAAACUUCUUUUAUACGGGAAUAAAGUAUUCCACGUGUGGAAUUUUGUAUGUACCGUAUGAAUAAGGAUCGGCUAACUCCGUGCCAGCAGCCGCGGUAAUACGGAGGAUCCGAGCGUUAUCCGGAUUUAUUGGGUUUAAAGGGAGCGUAGGUGGAAGAUUAAGUCAGCCUGUGAAAGUUUGCGGCUCAACCGUAAAAUUGCAGUUGAUACUGGUUUUCUUGAGUGCAGUAGAGGUGGGCGGAAUUCGUGGUGUAGCGGUGAAAUGCUUAGAUAUCACGAAGAACUCCGAUUG